rnacentral:rRNA from 1 species
UACGUAGGGUGCAAGCGUUGUCCGGAAUUAUUGGGCGUAAAGGGCUCGUAGGCGGUCCAUCACGUCGGGAGUGAAAAGCUGGGGCUUAACCCCAGUCCUGCUUCCGAUACGGGUGGACUAGAGGUAGGUAGGGGAGAACGGAAUUCUUGGUGUAGCGGUGAAAUGCGUAGAUAUCAAGAGGAACACCUGAGGUGAAGACGGGUUGCUGGGCUGACACUGACGCUGAUAGCGCGAAAGCCAGGGGAGCAAACGGG